rnacentral:ncRNA from 1 species
AUAUAGACUAAGAUAGGAAAUAGUAAAUAUUAUAGGUCUUAGAGAGGAAGUCAUAUGGUGAAAGACUUCUGUCCUCCCUAAUAUUGAACCUGUCCUGGAGUUUUUAAGCCAUAAAGCUUAAACGGUGGUGCGUUAUAACUAUUGAGAGAACCUUUAUUAGGUUUAUUAGAGUGGUACCGCGGAAUUCAACCUUUCGUCUCUAGA